CAGCCCCUCCAGCCUGCUCUGCCCUGCUCCCCAUGCACACCCUGGGCUUGGGCUUCUCCCAAAUGGAACCCACCCGAUUCUCCAGCGGCCCAUCCUGCUCCCCCCAGGGCUAUGCACGUUCUGUGCCUCUGCUCAGAGCAUGCCCCCUCCCCACCUUGGCCUGGCCAACUCCUGCUCAUCCCCAGGACUCCUUUAGAUGCCAUCUCGUCAAGGAAGACCCCUGCAUGCUCCAGUCAGCCACGACAAGGGGCUGUCUGCAAGCCAAGAAGAGGAGACUUCUCACCAGAAACCGAACCCUGCUGGAAACUUCAUCUUGGACUUUCUAGCCUCCAGAAUGGUCUGGAAACAAAUGUCAGUUGUGGAUGUGUCCCCAACCCCCCGCACCGCACGCCCAGUGCUGGCCAGUCAGGCACUGGAGUCCCAGGCAUUGAAGAAAGCACAGACACCCACCUGAUACGCAAAACCCACACUAAACCAUAAAAUAAAGGCGAGAAAAUCCAAUAAAGUUCUACUUUUUUCCCUA